rnacentral:rRNA from 1 species
UAGGGAAUCUUCCACAAUGGACGAAAGUCUGAUGGAGCAACGCCGCGUGAGCGAAGAAGGUUUUCGGAUCGUAAAGCUCUGUUGCUGGAGAAGAACGAGUGCGAGAGGAAAUGCUCGUACUGUGACGGUAUCCAGCCAGAAAGCCACGGCUAACUACGUGCCAGCAGCCGCGGUAAUACGUAGGUGGCAAGCGUUGUCCGGAAUUAUUGGGCGUAAAGCGCGCGCAGGCGGCUUCUUAAGUCUGAUGUGAAAUCUUGCGGCUCAACCGCAAACGGUCAUUGGAAACUGGGAAGCUUGAGUGCAGAAGAGGAGAGUAGAAUUCCACGUGUAGCGGUGAAAUGCGUAGAUAUGUGGAGGAAUACCAGUGGCGAAGGCGGCUCUCUGGUCUGUAACUGACGCUGAGGCGCGAAAGCGUGGGGAGCAAACAGGAUUAGAUACCCUGGUAGUCCACGCCGUAAACGAUGAGUGCUAGG